CCUACGGGUGGCAGCAGUGGGGAAUAUUGCGCAAUGGGUGCAACCCUGACGCAGCAACGCCGCGUGAUUGAAGAAGGCCUUCGUGUUGUAAAGAUCUUUAAUCGGGGACGAAUUUUGACGGUACCCGAAGAAUAAGCUCCGGCUAACUACGUGCAAGCAGCCGCGGUAAUACGUAGGGAGCAAGCGUUUUCCGGAUUUAUUGGGUGUAAUGGGCGUGUAGGCGAGCAUGCAAGCCAGAAGUGCAAUCUGGAGGCUUAACCCCCAAACUGCUUUUGUCACUGCGUGUCUUGAGUGAUGGAGAGGCAGGCGGAAUUCCCAGUGUAGCGGUGAAAUGCGUAGAUAUUGGGAGGAACACAAGUGGCGAAGGCGGCCUGCUGGACAUUAACUGACGCUGAGGCGCGAAAGCGUGGGGAGCAAACAGGAUUAGAUACCCGAGUAGUC
rnacentral:rRNA from 1 species